rnacentral:rRNA from 1 species
AUUGAACGCUGGCGGCAUGCCUUACACAUGCAAGUCGAACGGCAGCACGGGGGGUAACCCCUGGUGGCGAGUGGCGAACGGGUGAGUAAUACAUCGGAACGUAUCCUGUAGCGGGGGAUAACCUCUCGAAAGAGAGGCUAAUACCGCAUACGACCCAAGGGUGAAAGAGGGGGAUCGCAAGACCUCUCACUAUUGGAGCGGCCGAUGUCGGAUUAGCUAGUUGGUGGGGUAAAAGCCCCACCAAGGCUACGAUCCGUAGCUGGUCUGAGAGGACGACCAGCCACACUGGAACUGAGACACGGUCCAGACUCCUACGGGAGGCAGCAGUGGGGAAUCUUGCGCAAUGGGCGAAAGCCUGACGCAGCGACGCCGCGUGCGGGAGGAAGCUCUUCGGGGGUGUAAACCGCUGGUCGGGGGGGAAGAAGUGCCUGGGGAGGAAAUGCCUUGGGUUUGACGGUACCCCAAAGGAAGCACCGGCUAACUCUGUGCCAGCCGCCGCAGUAAU